CUCGCUGUCGGGGACAAAAGCUUCAGGAACGUAGCUCUCUUCGGGGAGUGUUAUAGCCUGUUGCACAAUACCCUUCGGCGGGCUGAGGUACGCGCUCCGCAAGGAUGCUGGCAUAAUGGUCAUCAGCGACCCGUCUUGAAACACGGACCAAGGAGUCAACCUUAUGUGCGAGUGUUCGGGUGUCAAACCCCUACGCGUAAUGAAAGUGAACGCAGGUGAGAGCUUCGGCGCAUCAUCGACCGAUCCUGAUGUUCUCGGAUGGAUUUGAGUAAGAGCAUAUAGGGUUGGACCCGAAAGAAGGUGAACUAUGCGUGUAUAGGGUGAAGCCAGAGGAAACUCUGGUGGAGGCUCGCAGCGGUUCUGACGUGCAAAUCGAUCGUCAAAUAUGCGCAUGGGGGCGAAAGACUAAUCGAACCUUCUAGUAGCUGGUUUCCGCCGAAGUUUCCCUCAGGAUAGCAGUGUUGAACUCAGUUUUAUGAGGUAAAGCGAAUGAUUAGGGACUCGGGGGCGCUAUAUUGCCUUCAUCCAUUCUCAAACUUUAAAUAUGUAAGAAGCCCUUGUUGCUUAAUUGAACGUGGGCAUUCGAAUGUAUCAACACUAGUGGGCCAUUUUUGGUAAGCAGAACUGGCGAUGCGGGAUGAACCGAACGCGAGGUUAAGGUGCCAGAGUAGACGCUCAUCAGACACCACAAAAGGUGUUAGUACAUCUUGACAGCAGGACGGUGGCCAUGGAAGUCGGAAUCCGCUAAGGACUGUGUAACAACUCACCUGCCGAAUGUACUAGCCCUGAAAAUGGAUGGCGCUCAAGCGUCUCACCCAUACCUCGCCCUCAGUGUAGAAACGAUGCGCUGAGGAGUAGGCGGACGUGGAGGUCGUGACGAAGCCUAGGG
rnacentral:rRNA from 1 species